rnacentral:rRNA from 1 species
GGCUCAGUGAAUCAUCGAAACUUUGAACGCAUAUUGCGCUUGUUGGC